UACGGGAGGCAGCAGUAGGGAAUCUUCCGCAAUGGACGAAAGUCUGACGGAGCAACGCCGCGUGAGUGAUGAAGGUUUUCGGAUCGUAAAGCUCUGUUGUUAGGGAAGAACAAGUGCCGUUCAAAUAGGGCGGCACCUUGACGGUACCUAACCAGAAAGCCACGGCUAACUACGUGCCAGCAGCCGCGGUAAUACGUAGGUGGCAAGCGUUGUCCGGAAUUAUUGGGCGUAAAGGGCUCGCAGGCGGUUUCUUAAGUCUGAUGUGAAAGCCCCCGGCUCAACCGGGGAGGGUCAUUGGAAACUGGGGAACUUGAGUGCAGAAGAGGAGAGUGGAAUUCCACGUGUAGCGGUGAAAUGCGUAGAGAUGUGGAGGAACACCAGUGGCGAGGCGACUCUCUGGUCUGUAACUGACGCUGAGGAGCGAAAGCGUGGGGAGCGAACAGGAUUAGAUACCCUGGUAGUCCACGCCGUAAACGAUGAUGCUAAGUGUUAGGGGGUUUCCGCCCCUUAGUGCUGCAGCUAACGCAUAAGCACUCCGCCUGGGAGUACGGUCGCAAGACUGAAACUCAAAGGAAUUGACGGGGGCCCGCACAAGCGGUGGAGCAUGUGGUUUAAUUCGAAGCAACGCGAAGAACCUUACCAGGUCUUGACAUCCUCUGACAAUCCUAGAGAUAGGACGUCCCCUUCGGGGGCAGAGUGACAGGUGGUGCAUGGUUGUCGUCAGCUCGUGUCGUGAGAUGUUGGGUUAAGUCCCGCAACGAGCGCAACCCUUGAUCUUAGUUGCCAGCAUUCAGUUGGGCACUCUAAGGUGACUGCCGGUGACAAACCGGA
rnacentral:rRNA from 1 species